rnacentral:rRNA from 1 species
UUUUGAGAGUUUUAACCUGGCUCAGAUUUUAUGCUGGCGGCAUGCUUUACACUUGCAAGUCGAACGGCAGCAGGCCGCAACCUGGCGGCGAGUGGCGAACGGGUGAGUAAUACAUCGGAACGUACCCAAGAGUGGGGGAUAACGUAGCGAAAGUUACGCUAAUACCGCAUACGAUCUAUGGAUGAAAGCAGGGGACCGCAAGGCCUUGCGCUCCUGGAGCGGCCGAUGUCUGAUUAGCUAGUUGGUGGGGUAAAGGCUUACCAAGGCAUCGAUCAGUAGCUGGUCUGAGAGGACGACCAGCCACACUGGAACUGAGACACGGCCCAGACUCCUACGGGAGGCAGCAGUGGGGAAUUUUGGACAAUGGGCGCAAGCCUGAUCCAGCAAUGCCGCGUGAGUGAAGAAGGCCUUCGGGUUGUAAAGCUCUUUUGUCAGGGAAGAAACGGGUUUGGUUAAUAUCCAGAUAUAAUGACGGUACCUGAAGAAUAAGCACCGGCUACUACGACGCGUCCCGC